rnacentral:rRNA from 1 species
CAGGGAUUGCCCUAGUAACGGCGAGUGAAGCGGCAACAGCUCAAAUUUGAAAUCUGGCUCUUUCAGAGUCCGAGUUGUAAUUUGCAGAGGGCGCUUUGGCUUUGGCAGCGGUCCAAGUUCCUUGGAACAGGACGUCACAGAGGGUGAGAAUCCCGUACGUGGUCGCUGGCUAUUGCCGUGUAAAGCCCCUUCGACGAGUCGAGUUGUUUGGGAAUGCAGCUCUAAAUGGGAGGUACAUUUCUUCUAAAGCUAAAUAUUGGCCAGAGACCGAUAGCGCACAAGUAGAGUGAUCGAAAGAUGAAAAGCACUUUGGAAAGAGAGUCAAACAGCACGUGAAAUUGUUGAAAGGGAAGCGCUUGCAGCCAGACUUGCUUGCAGUUGCUCAUCCGGGCUUUUGCCCGGUGCACUCUUCUGCAGGCAGGCCAGCAUCAGUUUGGGCGGUAGGAUAAAGGUCUCUGUCACGUACCUCUCUUCGGGGAGGCCUUAUAGGGGAGGCGACAUACUACCAGCCUGGACUGAGGUCCGCGCAUCUGCUAGGAUGCUGGCGUAAUGGCUGUAAGCGGCCCGUCUUGAAACACGGACCAAGGAGUCUAACAUCUAUGCGAGUGUUUGGGUGUCAAGCCCGAGCGCGUAAUGAAAGUGAACGGAGGUAGGAACCCGCAAGGGUGCACUAUCGACCGAUCCUGAUGUCUUCGGAAGGAUUUGAGUAAGAGCAUGGCUGUUGGGACCCGAAAGAUGGUGAACUAUGCUUGAAUAGGGUGAAGCCAGAGGAAACUCUGGUGGAGGCUCGCAGCGGUUCUGACGUGCAAAUCGAUCGUCAAAUUUGGGCAUAGGGGCGAAAGACUAAU